GGUCUCCGGCAGGGCAAUAUUUUGGGAAGCAGCGAUAAUGUCUGCGUGUGAUACGGCCUCCGGGUCUUCUGUGAAACUCCUCUCAGAUAGGUGGUGAUAAAGGGGGGACGUGGCAGUCUAUACUCUUCAGUGGGAGUGUGAAGCAACAAGGACAGUAAACAUGCAAAAAAACAAAAUAGUCUCUGAGAAAGACUGGCAGAUUAACUUAUUUAUACAAACAAGUUACAACUGCUUUCCCAUCCUGCAGGGUCAAGAAGGCGUCGGAGGCAAGCCAGGACCGCGUGGGCUCAAGGGGAGACCAGGGCCAGUGGGCCUACCGGGGCCACCAGGUCGGAUUAAGGAGUUUUUGUCUGGGGGACAUACAUUAAAGGGUGGAAAAGGAGAUAGGGGAGCUGCUGGGGGAAAAGGCUGCAAGGGGGAACCAGUAAGUUUCUCUUUAAAAUGCAUACCACAUGACACUCUUUACACACUUUAUGAAUGUCUUUAUGAAAGCUCCAUUGUGACAUUUUUACUGCUUUGUCAGAGUCGUGAUUUUACCUCAUCUCCUUCCUUAUCUCAACCUGUCCUCAGGGAGACCCUGGUUAUGCCUAUCUCACCAAAGGAGCAAAGGGAGACAAAGGACAGGAGGGUCCAGAAGGAAAGCUGGGGAAGGAUGGUGAUCCUGGAAUACAUGGAUUUAGGGGAAGGCCCGGCCUCAGAGGCGACCCAGGAUACCCAGGGACACCAGGAGGGCAGGGUGAAAAGGGAAAUAGGGGUCCCCCUGGUCCACCUGGAACUGUGA
rnacentral:lncRNA from 1 species